rnacentral:lncRNA from 1 species
CUUUGAUAAAGAGUAUUACAGAAAAUUUUAAUUUUCUUCUUUUUGCUGUUUUCUAAAUGGUCACACCUUUUUCUCGGCUAUAUUUCCAAAAGUCUAAACUGAAACAUAAAUUAUAAUGAGAAGAAAAACAAUAAAGGUUAUUAUUUUUAAAACACUAGAGCUGAAUCUCAGCUACCUAUCUAGAUCUCUUGGCCUGAGCCCUGGACCCAGCUAAAAAUAGUUCAGAGCCUUGCCAGCUGGGAGCUGGGCUAUGUUUAGCAGAAACUGGCACACGAGUGAAAUGGGGUGGAGCCAAGUAGACACUUUGGAUCCGGUAGGCAUAGCUCUCCCACAGGAGACUGUUUAGGCCAUGCCUGGCAUCAGUAACUCAGGCUGUUUCCCACACUACAGGCCAGCACUGUGGGCUCUCAGUUUAUUGGGAAAUGGAAAUAAGAGGGAAGGACAAAAGUCCACUGGGAAGCAGACUGGACAGAAAGGAACUCUGAGCAGCUAAACUCUGACUAAUCCCAGGGUAUACCUGCGUUUUCUCUUCACCAGAUUUUUCCUACCAGGAAGAGCAUGUGCUGACCAACAGACAUGAAUUUCAGCCUGGUAGUUACAACAUUCACAGUAUACCCACAUCACUAAGCUGGGAGGCACAUUUUGAGACCCAGAAUCCUGACACCUCCAUGCCUUCAAAAGGACAGGAGUUUCACUCGUUGCCCAGGCUGGAGUGCAACGGCGCGAUCUCAGCUCACUGCAACCUCCGCCUCCCCAGUUCAAGCGAUUCUCCUGCCUCAGCCUCCUGAGUCACUGGAAUUACGGGCGCCUGACACCACGCCCAGCUAAUUUUUUGUAUUUUUAGUAGACAUGGGGUUUCACUAUGUUGGCCAGGCUGGUCUCGAACUCCUGACCUCAUGAUCCUCCUGCCUCAGCCUCCCAAAGCACUGGGAUUACAGGUGUGAGCCACUGUGCCUGGUCCAUUAAAAACAUUUGUAAAGCUAUGGUGUUGAUAAAGUAUUAUGAAAGACUGCAAAAAAAGAUGGCUAAUUUUUAGUUAUUAUUGCACAUGUUUAGAGGAGCUAAUGACAUUUUCUAUGAUUAAUAAAAGACAUUAUUUAUGUUUUUAUUUAUGUAUUCCACAACAUUUAUUUUAUUUUCUCCAUUUCAGGAAAACCACUAUGUUGUUACAAUAAAGAUUUUCAUGUAAUUUGUGUUCAAUUGAUAGUAAUAAUGUAACAAGUUAAAAAUGAAGGUAAUUGUGUUUAAAAUUUGAGCAUAUUUUCAUCAAAAUGUAAGUUAAAGUGAUUGUAAAUUUUAAGAUCAUAAUUACUUUGUAUAUCUUCAAGAAAAUUAUUGUUUUAAAAUAUUUAUGCCUAUUAAAAUUAGAAGGCAAAAUAAAAAUAUAUGAAUACCAACAUUUUAAAUAAAA